CCUACGGGCGGCAGCAGUGAGGAAUAUUGGUCAAUGGGCGCGAGCCUGAACCAGCCAAGCCGCGUGAGGGAAGACGGUCCUCUGGAUUGUAAACCUCUUUUGUCGGGGGGCAAAAGACGCCACGCGUGGCGUUCCGAGAGUACCCGAAGAACAAGCAUCGGCUAACUCCGUGCCAGCAGCCGCGGUAAUACGGGGGAUGCGAGCGUUAUCCGGAUUUAUUGGGUUUAAAGGGUGCGCAGGCGGAAGAUUAAGUCAGCGGUAAAAUUGCGGGGCUCAACCUCUUCGAGCCGUUGAAACUGGUGGUCUUGAGGGAGUGAGAAGUAGGCGGAAUGCGUGGUGUAGCGGUGAAAUGCAUAGAUAGCGCGCAGAACUCCGAUUGCGAAGGCAGCAUACCGGAGCUCAACUGACGCUCAUGCACGAAAGUGUGGGUAUCGAACAGGAUUAGAUACCCUUGUAGUC
rnacentral:rRNA from 1 species